ensembl:lncRNA
AGGAUGAAAAAAACAACAUAGCUUGUAAAAUAUUUCAUGGAAACACUUUCCAAUCUCUCUGACUUGGAAACCGACUGAUUCAAAGAAAAAACCACAUGUAUACAGUUCUGCUUUCUUAAACUAAUUAUUUCAAAAUAUUAUCAAGGUAUCGUGUGAUCAUCUGGACUCGGAGGAUUCAUCAUUACUGAUGAACAGGAAUGUGCCUUGGCACAAUAGUGUCAGUGGUUGAUUAUGCACUGCAGACACCUAUAGAUAAACAUCUCUAUUCGUAAAAAAUGAGCACUGUCUCCGAGAGCAGUUUCUGAUGAGGCUUUAAAAGCAGCAUCAAAAAUAUGUAAUGCUAGAAGGAUGAGGCUGCCCAGCCCUGUCACAGAGUAGCAUUGCUUUCUACGAGGGGAAAAAAAUAGAUCUGCGCUGUUCCUUAUGAUCAGGGUUUCAUCCAUUUAUUUGGCUAAUCAUUCAAAUGGCUAAACAGACCUCUAAUUUGAAAAUAAAACCCGACUGAUGCAAUCACAAACAAGUUCUGAAAUUGUGAUUUAUAAAAAAAGAGGGGAAAUCUUGUUCGAAGCCAAAACACACACACACAGUUACCUUUUUCUAAUCAGAGCAUUCAUUUCUCCUCAUUAUGAUCUCACAAGCACAUUAAAAUCUUAUUAACAUUAAUUACUUCUGAGCGUCUAUGCAUGAGCAGCGACAGGCUUGCGUGCGCGCGCGCGCGCGUGUGUGUGUAUGUGUGUGUCUCUGGAUCAUAUCUACAUUUAUAUACCUUGCUGCACUUUGCUUAUAAAACAUGUGAAAAUAUUGCUGCUAACACCAAUUAGCUAAUUUCACACACACAGAUAGUAAGCUGCUGUCUCGCUGCACAGCUUAUUAUAGACCAGCAGACAGAUGGACAGACAAACAGACGCAGAAAGCAUCACGGCUCCUCCUAAAUGCAAGAUCUGAAAUGCCUGGCACCCCCAGGAGUGCGACUUUUAUCCUCGGAAGUCUGAGGGAACAAAAUGACACAAAUUAAAAAAAAAAAAAAAAAAAAAAGGAAAAAAAUAAAUAAAAAAAAAAAAAUACAAGACAGCCAAAUAUCCCAUUUUCUACACAGAUGGGUUCAAUGAUGAAGUGAUAGAGACAAAGAAAAAACUGGCAGGCAGACAAGCAGCAGGCGCACAGAGAGAUAGACAGAGACAGAUAAACAAAGCAACAGAGAAAGAGAUGAAAGCAUAUUCAUCUAUGUGAAUUUGGGCUAUGCAAUAUCAACUUUAGACCACCAAUAAGGUAAGGAAAGAAAUGGCAGGGCCAGGAGUCACAACAGGUCCAGCUUCACAAGCAAAAUCCUGACUUUCUACACAACUGUUUAUGGAUUGUAUUUACGCUCAGCACACUACACGGAGCACCGCUGCUGGGUCAGACUCAGCUCCACCACAAACUCCAGAACAAACACAGGCAUCUAGACACUGCUGCUGAACUGCACCUUCCUCUUCCUUUUCACCCUUUGUUUCCAUCUAAUUUAGAUUCUGCUUCUGAAUCCCAUCCUCCUGAACAUUCUCUUUGCCAGGGUUUAAGACAUAAAGAACACAUAAGCGUCCCUCAUCAUGGCAAAGCCAUGUUUCUCCAUCACCGGGGGAUUCGCCUCCAAAGGGCAAACCUUGCAGUCCUUUGCAGAACACAGGUGG